rnacentral:rRNA from 1 species
GACGAACGCUGGCGGCGUGCUUAACACAUGCAAGUCGAACGGAAAGGCCCGGCUUUUGUGGGGUGCUCGAUUGGCGAACGGGGGAGUAACACGCGAGUAACCUGCCCUUGACUUUGGGAUAACUUCAGGAGACUGGGGAUCAUACCGGAUAGGAGCUCCUGCUGCAUGGUGGGGGUUGGAAAGUUUCGGCGGUGGGGGAUGGUCUCGCGGCUUAUCAGCUUGUUGGUGGGGUAGUGGCUUACCAGGGCUUUGACGGGUAGCCGGCCUGAGAGGGUGACCGGCCACAUUGGGACUGCGGUACGGCCCAGACGCCUACGGGCGGCAGCAGUGGGAAGUAUUGCACAAUGGGCGGACGCGUGAUGCAACGGCCCCGCGUGCGGGAUGACGGCCUUCGGGUUAUAAACAGAUUUGGCCUGUGACGAAGCGUGAGUGACGGUAAUGGGUAAAGAAGCACCGGCUAACUACGUG